rnacentral:rRNA from 1 species
UAGUUUAACUAAUUUCUUAGGUCCUUUCGUACUAGAAGAAAUAUAAAGAAGAUAGAAACCGACCUGGUUUACACCGGUCUGAACUCAAAUCAUGUAAUUAUUUAAAAGUCGAACAGACUUUCUUAAUUUUCUAUUGCGUAAAUUAGGAUAUUAAAUCAACAUCGAGGUCGCAAUCUUUAUUUUAAAUAAGAUCUUAAAAAUUUUAUUACGCUGUUAUCCCUAAGGUAAUUUGUUCAUUUUAUUGAUUCUAUUAGGUCUAUUUUAUAAAUAUUUUUAUUAAAAUAAUAAUUGAUUUACUGCCCCAGUUAAACUUUAGUAAAAUUCAAUAGGGUCUUAUCGUCUUUCUUUUUUAUAAAAGUCUUUUUAUUUUUAAGAUAAUUUUAAUAAAUAAUUUAAAGAAAUAUUUUAAAUGUUAAAUCUUUUAUUCUAGUCUUUAAUUAAAAGACAAAUGAUUAUGCUACCUUAGCACAAUUUGCGGCUAUUAAAUUUUUCAUUGAGCAGAUUUUACCAUUAAUAAAUUCUAAUGGAAAUGUUUUUGUUAAACAGUCAUUAAAUUUAUUAGUUAUUUUAUUUUAUUUAAGUAAUUUACUAAUUUUAUCAUAAUUUUUUUUUAUAAAGGAUAUUUUAUUAAUAAAGUUAUUAAACAUUAGGUAAAAUUAGUUUUAAAACUUAUUGAAUACUUUAAUUUCUUAUAUGUAGUUAAAUUUAAAGAAACUUUUAUUAUAAAUUAUCUUAUAAAAAUUAUUUUUAAUAUUAUUAUUAUUAAAAUACCAGAUAUUUAUUUGAACGAAUAACGUUUAAUUUCUAUAAAAUAUUUUAAUUAGUUUUGUAAUAAAUUAAUUAUAAAUUAUAGAUCUCAAAAAUUCGGGAAUUAAAUAUAUUUUUAUAAUUUGAUAAAUCUUGAUACUAGAAGAACAUGAAAUUUCUUUUAAAAAAUUUAAUUUUCCUUUUCAGUUAUUAUAUAUAAAAUAUAAAUUAAAAUUUAAAAAAGAUUUUUCUAAAAUAAAUG